CGAGGCUCCCACCUGCGCUAAGCGCUUGAUACCAGGGAGGGAAUGGGAGGACGCUUGCGGGGUAGGGAGGCGGGGGCUGGAAAUUGGCAGGGUGAGAACUGGGGAAACUAGUCUGGGACGCAGCCCUCCUUGUACCCCUUCUUCAUUCACCCCCUUGUUGAGGCCCUUGGCUUUUGCAUAAUUAUGGAAGCUCCAAAAGGAAAGACACCAGAUUGAUCUUGAUCACCUCUGCCUCCCCAGCACCUACCCUUCCUUGGCACAUCGUAAGUGUUCGGGUCAGGCUGUGCCACAUCCACCCGGCCUUGCCUGGGGUCAUUCAUCCUACAUGUACUCAGAUCAUGUGAACUGGUGACGGGCCACACAUGUGCCUGCCUGGAGACUCCUAUUCACCCUUCAGAUCAAUAUCCCCUGAAUAAACUCCCAGUCACUCUGGCA
rnacentral:lncRNA from 1 species